UACGUAGGGGGCUAGCGUUGUCCGGAAUCAUUGGGCGUAAAGCGCGUGUAGGCGGUCCGGUAAGUCCGCUGUGAAAGUCGGGGGCUCAACCCUCGAAUGCCGGUGGAUACUGUCGGGCUAGAGUGCGGAAGAGGCGAGUGGAAUUCCUGGUGUAGCGGUGAAAUGCGCAGAUAUCAGGAGGAACACCGGUGGCGAAGGCGGUGGUCUGGGCCGGAACUGACGCUGAGGAGCGAAAGCGUGGGGAGCGAACAGG
rnacentral:rRNA from 1 species